rnacentral:rRNA from 1 species
UCAGCUAUGGUUUAUUGGAUCAUACCCGUUAAAUGGAUAACUGUAAUAACUCUAGAGCUAAUACAUGCCACGAUGCCCUGACCCUUUUGGGAAUGGGUGCACUUAUUAGAUCAGAAGCCAACCGUGUAUGUCCGCAAGGGUGUGCAUGUUGACCUUCUGGUGACUCUGGAUAAUUGUUACAGAUCGCAGUCGGCCUUGAGUCGGCGACGGGUCCUUCAAAUGUCUGCCCUAUCAACUUUCGAUGGUAGGUGACCUGCCUACCAUGGUGAUAACGGGUAACGGGGAAUCAGGGUUCGAUUCCGGAGAGGGAGCCUGAGAAACGGCUACCACUUCCAAGGGAGGCAGCAGGCGCGCAAAUUACCCACUCCCGGUACGGGGAGGUGGUGACGAAAAAUACCGAUGCGGGACUCUCAACGAGGCUCCGUAAUCGGAAUGAGUGAACUUUAAAUCCUUUCACGAGGAUCAAUUGGAGGGCAAGUCUGGUGCCAGCAGCCGCGGUAACUCCAGCUCCAAUAGCGUAUAUUAAAGUUGCUGCAGUUAAAAAGCUCGUAGUUGGAUCUCGGUACCACUGUUGCUCGUCAGUCCUCUGGUAGAUGGCUAUGUGCGCAUGGGCUCGACCUGUGUUGCCAUGGCUGUUCUGCCCGAGUUGGCGGUGUGACGGUGUCGCCUUUCAGCCAUGUCUGUGGUGAAAUACCCUCAGGUGUAGGCGAGUGUCGGGUGGUGCCCAGCGUUAGUUGGGUCUGCCGGCUCGUCUGCAUGCCUUUGGAUGCCCUUUAAAAGGUGUCUGUGGGCGGAUGGCACGUUUACUUUGAACAAAUUUGAGUGCUCAAACCAGGCCGAUGUUGCCUGAAAAGUUUUGCAUGGAAUAAUGGAAUAGGACUUCGGUUCUAUUUCGUUGGUUUUCGGAUCCGAAGUAAUGAUCAAAAGAGACAGGCGGGGACGUUUGUAUGGCUGCGCUAGAGGUGAAAUUCAUGGACCGUA